rnacentral:rRNA from 1 species
UAGGGAAUCUUCCGCAAUGGACGCAAGUCUGACGGAGCAACGCCGCGUGAGUGAAGAAGGAUUUCGGUUCGUAAAACUCUGUUGUUAGAGAAGAACAGCGCAUAGAGUAACUGUUAUGCGUGUGACGGUACCUAACCAGAAAGCCACGGCUAACUACGUGCCAGCAGCCGCGGUAAUACGUAGGUGGCAAGCGUUGUCCGGAUUUAUUGGGCGUAAAGCGAGCGCAGGCGGUCAAUUAAGUCUGAUGUGAAAGCCCCCGGCUCAACCGGGGAGGGUCAUUGGAAACUGGUUGACUUGAGUGCAGAAGAGGAGAGUGGAAUUCCAUGUGUAGCGGUGAAAUGCGUAGAUAUAUGGAGGAACACCAGUGGCGAAGGCGACUCUCUGGUCUGUAACUGACGCUGAGGUUCGAAAGCGUGGGUAGCAAACAGG